UAUUAAUGAUGGAAACAAAUUCGGUACGGUUUAGAAAGAAUAUCCACAAAUAUAGAAUAGAAUUAUGGUUUUCUUACUUCUCGCCUAAUUUCCCAAGAUCAUUACAUGAAGGCAAAGUAACAUUUUUACUUGGACCAGAAAGUACGUAUGAGAAAUUAAAUAUAGAGAAAAUACGUUUUUUCAAAAUUUUAUUCUCACGUUUACAACUAGCCUUGCUCCAAGGCUGUACUGAAUACAAGCCAAUGGAUGUAUAGUAAUUCUAUCCUUUAAAGAUGCACGUCUCGAUCGGCGGACAGUACAUCUAAGGACACAGAUCUGAUAUAUAUAUUUCUUUUAGAAAGUUUAAUUCAAACUAUUAAUUAUUAACAUAGAAACUUGUGCAAGUCUAAUCAACUACAUAAAUUAUGUUUUGAACUAAAACUAAGGUAUUUACAAAUAUUCAUUUACACUUCUGUUUGUGCACCGAGGCAGACCCUGAUUUGUAUGUUAAUUCUUUCAAGGCCAUGUAUACGGAAUUGAAGGAUACAUUCAGAUCAAUCAGUAGUUAAAGUUACAGUUCUUCCUCAAAACUGGGCGUAUUAGACAGGCGAUGAACUGUCAUUAGACAACAUUAUCUGAGUCAGACGAUAACUCCAAACAGUAUCUAUGACCAUAGGCUUUAAACCAGAAGGUGCACAGGAUAACAGGAGAAAGGCAGCCUUGAAUAUGAACAGCCCGGUGAUUGUGUCUAUGCACAAUACGAUGUGCAUUACGAUGACCCAUAAUCUCG